AUCAAGCUUAUCGAUACCGUCUGCAAAACCGAAAGGUGAGGUAUAUGGGCUGACGCCUGCCCGGUGCUGGAAGGUUAAGGGGAGAGGUUAGCGCAAGCGAAGCUUUGAACUUAAGCCCCAGUAAACGGCGGCCGUAACUAUAACGGUCCUAAGGUAGCGAAAUUCCUUGUCGGGUAAGUUCCGACCCGCACGAAAGGCGUAAUGAUUUGGGCACUGUCUCAACGAUACACCCGGUGAAAUUGAAAUACCAGUGAAGAUGCUGGUUACCUGCGCCAGGACGGAAAGACCCCAUGGAGCUUUACUCCAGUUUGAUACUGGGAUUCGGCAUGGUAUGUACAGGAUAGGUGGGAGACUGAGAAGGUAUGACGUCAGUUGUACCGGAGUCGCUGUUGGGAUACCACCCUUACCAUGUUGGAUUUCUAACCUGUGGCCGUAAGCCGGUCAGGGGACAAUGUCAGGCGGGGAGUUUGACUGGGGCGGUCGCCUCCGAAAGGGUAUCGGAGGCGCUCAAAGGUUCCCUCAGAAUGGUUGGAAACCAUUCGAAGAGUGCAAAGGCAGAAGGGAGCUUGACUGUGACACCGACGGGUGGAGCAGGUACGAAAGUAGGACUUAGUGAUCCGGUGGUAUAAAGUGGGAUUGCCAUCGCUCAACGGAUAAAAGCUACCCUGGGGAUAACAGGCUUAUCACUCCCAAGAGUUCACAUCGACGGAGUGGUUUGGCACCUCGAUGUCGGCUCAUCGCAUCCUGGAGCUGUAGCAGGUUCCAAGGGUUGGGCUGUUCGCCCAUUAAAGCGGUACGCGAGCUGGGUUCAGAACGUCGUGAGACAGUUCGGUCCCUAUCCGGCGCAGGCGGAGGAAAUUUGAUAGGAGCUGUCCUUAGUACGAGAGGACCGGGAUGGACGGACCGCUGGUGUAUCUGUUGUACUGCCAAGUGCAUAGCAGAGUAGCCAAGUCUGGAAGGGAUAAACGCUGAAGGCAUCUAAGCGUGAAGCCCCCCUAAAGAUAAGAUUUCCCAUACCAUAAGGUAGUAAGACCCCUUGAAGACGACGAGGUAGAUAGGGCAGAGGUGGAAGUACGGUAACGUAUGGAGCUGACUGUUACUAAUCGGUCGAGGCUUUAACCAA
rnacentral:rRNA from 1 species